AUGAUCUUGCUAACUAUUGUUCUCCUUUUCGUUUUAUAUCGAAAAUCUUUGUUCUGCUACUUCUGUUGUAUAUGGCUUGGUAUUACGGUUUGGAUUAGAUACAAUAGCCUUCAGUGUUCUUUGGUAUUAUCUUCUUUGUAUGUGCCAUGGGAUUUUCAUGAGCUGUUUUUUGGUAUGAAUAUGAUGUACAAACUGGUUUUGUGCAGAUUGCAAGGCAGUCGGUUUGAUGUCUUAUUGGCGAAAUUCUGUAGCACAAUGAAGCAAGGUUCGGUGCGAUGA